GGGGGAAAAGAGCCGUGAAGCACGAGCUGGGUCCAGGGCUGUCGGCCCUGGCAAGCUGGACUGGGACUUGGGCCAGCGCAGGCAGCUGUCGGGACGUGUCAGCGUUCGGCCGCCUGGGGCUCGGCUCCCCGACUCGCCCAGGUGUUCAUAUCCUUAUUUUCCAUGACAGAUCUUGAUGACACUGUAUGCAAAAGAUACAUGAAGAUGAUUACAAACAUAGUAAUAUUGAGCCUGAUCAUAUGCAUUUCCUUAGCUUUCUGGAUUAUGUCAAUGACUGCUAGCACCUAUUAUGGUAACUUACGGCCUAUUUCUCCCUGGCGUUGGCUAUUUUCAGUUGUUGUUCCUGUUUUGAUUGUCUCUAAUGGCUUUAAAAAGAAAAGCCUAGAUUACAGUGGAGCUUUGGGAGGGCUAGUGGUUGGAUUUAUCCUAACGAUUGCAAAUUUCAGCUUUUUUACCUCUUUGCUGAUGUUUUUCCUUUCUUCUUCAAAACUCACAAAAUGGAAAGGAGAAGCAAAGAAGCGUUUAGAUUCAGAAUAUAAGGAAGGAGGGCAGAGGAAUUGGAUCCAGGUGUUCUGUAAUGGAGCUGUGCCUACUGAGCUGGCCCUACUGUACAUGAUAGAAAAUGGCCCCGGGGAAAUACCAAUCGAUUUUUCUAAGCAGUACACUGCUUCCUGGAUGUGUUUAUCUCUCUUGGCUGCACUGGCCUGCUCUGCUGGAGACACCUGGGCUUCAGAAGUUGGCACAGUACUGAGUAAAAGCCCACCAAGGCUAAUAACAACCUGGGAGAAAGUUCCAGUGGGAACCAAUGGAGGUGUUACAAUGGUGGGACUUGCCUCAAGUCUUCUUGGUGGUACCUUUGUGGGCAUUGCAUACUUCCUCACACAGUUGGUUUUUGUGAGUGAUUUAGACAUUUCUGCUCCACAGUGGCCCAUUAUUGCAUUUGGAGGUCUAGCCGGAUUGCUAGGAUCAAUUGUGGACUCAUAUUUAGGGGCAACAAUGCAAUUUACUGGUUUGGAUGAAAGCACUGGCAUGGUAGUCAACAACCCUACAAAUAAUGCAAAGCACGUAGCAGGGAAACCCAUUCUUGAUAACAAUGCAGUGAAUCUAUUUUCUUCUGUUCUUAUUGCCCUCUUGCUCCCGACAGCUGCUUGGGGGUUUUGGCCCAGAGAGUGAACUUUAUUUCAUUUCCAUUGGUUGAAACUGGGUCUUGCUAAGUUGCUGAGACUGGCCUCUAACCUGCAGUCUUCUUGCCUCAAUUUCCGGGGAUUAUAGGUGGCUUAAAGGUGAUUAUUUAUUAUUAUACUAUAACAUAAUAGAGGACUGCAAAGUGUAUGUGGCCCAAGGCAGCUUUUGAAGAAGACUUCAAGAAGAGACAUCACAUGGGACUACCAGGAAAGCACAGACUUGUCACAGAAGUUCAUUCCAUCUUUAGUAUUUUUCCCUUCUUGAGUUAUCUAUGCUUUAUAUCUCUUUCUUGUUUCUAGCUGCUGUAAAUAUAGAAUACUGGCUGCAGAAAUUCUAACUCCACCUCAAUUAGAAAAAAGAAUUAUUAAAGAGAAAAAUUGUGAAAUGAGAUGUUUUAAACGUUGCACCUGCCUGCGGUAUGAACAGCUGCUGACUAUUAAUGCACAGUGAAUACCCUAGGGCCCAAUCAUUUGAUAUUCCUGAUAUUUUAUCUGAUGUCCCCAGUACCACCACAAUGAGAAUGAACUGCAAGCCACCAAAUCCCAGAUGAAUUGUAUGCGCUUUAAAAGUGAAAACACAAGACUGAGAAUAUAGUUGUGGUAGAGCACUUGCUCAGCAUGCGUGAAGUUCUGGGUUCGAUCCCCUGUACUUCCAAAAAAAGAAGAAAACAAUUAUUCAGCUUAAUUAUUUAAUCUCCUUAUGGAGUAUUUGUUGCUCUAACUCCCAGUAAGUCCUGAAUAUUUUUAAAAUAUAUGAGUGUUUAAUGUGUUUGUUGAAUUAAGCUGUUAGACUCUAAUCAGUGUUUCUCUUAAGAGUCUCUGAAAGUCAAUAAUUGGAAACAUAUUCCUGGAGGGAAAUAAAAAAUAAAAAAAACAGUUUGGCUAAUUGAA